rnacentral:lncRNA from 1 species
AAAAAUUAAAAAAAAGAACAGAGAACACUGGUGUUCAAAUAUGAAUAAAAGGAGAAAAGGGCAAAAAAUACUAACGAAUAGAAAAAUAUUACCUUAAGAAUACAGAAGGGAUAUACCUAUAAUAUCGAGAUCAUCUUUUAUUCUUAUUCGAUAUCUUUGUAAUAAUUUCAUAAAAUAAGUAUACCUAUUACCACGUGACGGACAUAUAACUAACAUGCAUCCUUGCUUUCAUCAAAAUAAUUAUAUAUACACACC